rnacentral:sRNA from 1 species
UCUUAAAAGCUGACUAUGUCUACCUUUUACAGUAAAUUCAAGUCGACUUACUAUAAGGGACUUGGCUAUUUUAUCGAUAGCAUCAAUGGUGUAGAAGGUUCUGUGGCUUCAAAGACUUUUUGGCACAUUCUUAGUGGCAAUAAGGCCCUCGAAUGCGGUGUAUCCAGCUACGUACCUGAAGAUGGCGAAACAAUUCUGUUCAAUUUUACCACUUACAAAGCCGCUGGCUACGAAUAGCUGACAUGCAAGCCGGCCAGACAAGAUUUGAACAUUAUUUUAUUUCUUGUAUACAUUUUCCAAAUUACUCAUAAGCUUUAAAUUUGUUUUUAUAUUUUGAUAUAAAUACUGGUAUUUGAGAAUUAUAUAUUCCUGCUAUAA